UACGAAGGGUGCAAGCGUUACUCGGAAUUACUGGGCGUAAAGCGUGCGUAGGUGGUUUUUUAAGUCCGUUGUGAAAGCCCUGGGCUCAACCUGGGAAUUGCAGUGGAUACUGGCGAGCUAGAGUGCGGUAGAGGAUGGUGGAAUUCCCGGUGUAGCGGUGAAAUGCGUAGAGAUCGGGAGGAACACCCGUGGCGAAGGCGGCCAUCUGGACCAGCACUGACGCUGAGGCACGAAAGCGUGGGGAGCAAACGGG
rnacentral:rRNA from 1 species